AGCUUUGUGUUGUCCCACUGGAGCAUGCUAGCCUUUCGACGUCACCGCCUGGUGGCCGUACCUCUACUCCAGUGCCUGUGGACUUAGACACGACGGAUGUGUCCACAUGCCCACCCGACCCAAAGGAUGUGACAUUCCAGUUGUCUGAAACCGCAGAAAGCUCAGACACUGAAGAUGAAGGAGACAAGAUGUUGCAACCACGAGGGCUUUCAAAAUCUUGUGGGCAUCAAAC